GGAAUAUUGCACAACGGGGGAAACCCUGAUGCAGCGACGCCGCGUGAGUGAAGAAGUAUUUCGGUAUGUAAAGCUCUAUCAGCAGGAAAGAAAAUGACGGUACCUGACUAAGAAGCCCCGGCUAACUACGUGCCAGCAGCCGCGGUAAUACGUAGGGGGCAACCGUUAUCCGGAUUUACUGGGUGUAAAGGGAGCGUAGACGGUGAAGUAAGUCUGGAGUGAAAGGCGGGGGCCCAACCCCCGGACUGCUCUGGAAACUAUUUGACUGGAGUGCAGGAGAGGUAAGCGGAAUUCCUAGUGCAGCGGUGAAAUGCGUAGAUAUUAGGAGGAACACCAGUGGCGAAGGCGGCUUACUGGACUGUAACUGACGUUGAGGCUCGAAAGCGUGGGGAGCAAACA
rnacentral:rRNA from 1 species